UUCCAGGUGGCUCAGUGGUAAAGAAUCUGCCUGCCAGUGCAGGAGACACAAGAGAUGCAGGUUCAAUCCCUGAGUCGGGAAG
rnacentral:tRNA from 1 species